CGCCGCCGCCGCCGCCCGGGCCCCAAGGCCUGCUGCCCGCCCCGCUCCACGGCACCGCCUAACCGGACCACUGCUGCUCUCUGCGGAACCAGCGAGAGAGUUUAUUCCUUCAAUUUUAUUGGACGUAGCCUUCCUUUGAUGGUCCUCCCGAAAGAAAUUUUGUCUAGUGGUCCCUUAUCACUGAAAAUUUAAGAGCCGCUGACCCGGCUCCUCUGCGAGCGAGAGGGCCGCCCGAGCCGAGCCCCGUCUCCCCAUAUUUCGAUCGCGCUUUUGAGAAGCGCGCCGGGCCAUUUGGUGAACACUAUAUACUUAUUAGAUACGAUUCGAUUGAACUGUUACUUCUUUCAUAACGUUAAUGUAUAUAUUUAAGAAUGUUGAAAAAACGAAUGAAACCGACGCUACAGUUUCUAGACUCAUUGUUUGCGUCGACUCGAAAACGAUCGCUUAGGGAGAUCCUUCCCUAUUAUCUUGAAUGUAUUUUUUGCACGUAGAUAGUGUACGAGUCAUAAAGGUUUUUGCGACCUUCCUGAAAUCGAAUUGAAUGAUAUUAGGAUGCGGGCGUGUACACGUGUUUGGUGCCAAACGAACGCUACGUUUUACGUGCACGAAAGAUUGAUAUCACGGUAAAUAAAUAUUUGUCAAUUUUAAAAGCAAUCUCCCAUGAUACUAACGGUUAUUCCACGUAUAAAUUAAUUGAAACACAUUUAUGCUGGUCAUAAACGUAAAUUUAUUCUACUUAUUACAUUGAAUUAAUCAAAUGAAGUUUUUCGCCGCUCUAAAUGUAAUGAAAAACAUUAAAAUAAAACUAUUUAAAAUAUUUAAUUACGAAAUGUUAUAGUAAAAAGCACAAAUAACUUAGUACCAUUAAAAACUAAUUUGUUGCAUGAAAUGUUUAGCAUAGAUAAUUGCAAGAUACCUAGAUAGAAAGUAAUCGAGCUUAUUGAAGUCCAUCAAAGCUGUCUAUGGACAGACAGAGUGUUCUUGGAACCUAAGCUAACUUUACUUGUCAUCACAAUAAAACGACAGAAAAUAAUUGUGUUCUCAUAAUUAGAUCGUUGGCGUGACUUUGACUACGGAAGAAAGGUCUAUGUUAUUGAGGUCACUCAGACCAAAGGGAAAUAAGUAAUCUUAAAUGCUCACUCCUCAGACGAAAAACUAAUGUAUAAUAAGUUUUAAGCGAGCAAAAUUUAACCUAAAGUAUUAAGUUGUAGGCAAGUUUAAAACUUAUAAAUAAUACGUUUUACCAUACUUUUUAAUUAAGUAAAGAAACUGAUGUAGUGAGCAUUCUAAGGUUACAUAUUUUUCGAUGGUCAGACCAAGCACAGCCGGGACCGAGACGAUUUUUACUUGUCAUCCAGCAUAAUAGGGUGUAAAAUAAGCUUUAAAAGUGUGGUCACAUUCUGCAAUUGUUUGUUGUGAUAUUCUUGAUGAACAACUGAAAACUUUUCGGUCCCCGCGUUGGCUUGAGUUUAGUUUCGGAAAUAUAAAGGUUUUUGUGUAACUAGAUUAGAACCAAGUGCAAGGACCGAGGCGAUCUUUACUUGUUGCCACAUAUUUGUUGAUGAACAACUGAAUACACCUGGGUCCCUCGAUAUAUAGCGUUGGUUCGAGUUAUAUCUGUAGGAGUUAUCCGUCCUCGCCAUGACAGAUUAUUCCUAUAAGCUUGCCGGUACCUAGUGCGUACAAAUAUGUUGUAGAAAUAGAAAUGGGACGGAUAUACGAAGCCAUACAAAAACACUACGCUCUCAUCGUAAUUUAACAUUGAUGGCAAUGAAUUUAUACUAAAUAAGACUAAUAAAUCUAGGGAAAUCUAUCAAGAAAUUGACAUUGAAUGCAAAUGUAAUAACUAAUAAAUCGAAAAGCUCUAUGUAAAUUUAUAAGCAAAUUUAUGUCGAAUUAAAAAAUUAAAUGAUAGUGAUGUUAGAUAUUUUAAGGAAUGGUUAUAAUUCGUUUGAAGGGACCUGGAUUACUAUGAUCACACUGGAUUGAUCUCAAUUAUGUGCGUGCGAACAGGUUAUUAUAUUAUGUUUAAUUAUAAUUGUGUCCUGUAUUUUAAACUCUUCGCAGUUGAAAAUAGUUUCACAUAUUAGGUUUUGCUUCGUUUCUUGCUAUUUGUAAUAUUAAGUACUAAUUUAUAUCUUUCAUUCCUAGGAGCAUUUAAAAAUUAACUUUUCGUAAAUUAUAUUUGAAAUUGGAUACUAUGAAAUAUACAAUUAUGUUUCAUGGAGAAUUUCUGUGUGAAUACAAUAAUUAUAAGUGCCAUUAGUGCUAGGCCAUGUAGAUCGCAGCGCGGGUAUUGUAAGGAUAUUCUAAGUUCCAUCACGUGAGGACUUCCUAAAACAAAUAAAAUUGGUAAUUUGCUAGAAAAAUGUGUAUUAAAUAAUUAAAAUUUUGAUGGGUGGCAGGCUCUAAUCAAUUGUUUUGCGUCUAGUCAGGCUAGUAUUUUAUAUUUACUUUAUUAUCAGCUACAUAUCAUUUUUAUGGUAAAAUUCAAUAUAUUCAUGAUACUUUACAUGAAAUUAUUUAUCAAUUGGCCAUAUUUUUGUCGGAAUUUUAGUUAUAUUUAGCCUCUCGUACGCAGUAAACACAUAAUAGUACAUACGACAGCAUAGCUGUAACUACAAUUAAUUUCCCCUUAGGCAAAAUCCGAUAUUAUUUUGAAAUUAAUUUAAUUAUGUGAACCGCCACGCACUGGUAUUUAUUGUUAUGCUACUGUCGUAAAAAUACUGUUAUAAAGUAGACCAAUGCUAAUAUUCAUAAACGCAUGUUUCAGUUAACAUGACUGUUAAAGCGCGCGGUUGUUUUAUGCGAUUAACGCAGCUUCAAACGCGCUCGCCGCACACCAAUUUUAAAUUAGAUAAUCUAAUGACCUCGUGAGGAAACCUGCAUACAUCUGCGAAGAAAUUCAAAGGUGUAUGUGAAGUCCCCAAUCCGCAUUGGGCUAGCGUGGGGACUAUAGCCCGAGCCCUCUCGCGCAUGAGAGGAGGCCUGUGCCCAGCAGUGGGACGUAUAUAGGCUGAAUUAUUAUUAUUUUAAUCUAAUGACCGUAAAUAUUUUUACGCUGUAAACGCAGCGGUAAGCGCAUUGUCAUUUUCCCAACAUUCCAUGAUCGCAUGCGUUCAACGCUGCGUCUAUCGCAUUAGUAACCGCGCGCUUAAAGCCAUUAUAACUGACUACGGUACAGUCACGGACGUUAAUUGUUGAGCCAAUUAGGGUUUACUUUACAUUGGACAUUUCAUACCGUUUAUAUUGACAGCCAAAUUAGCUUGAAUCAAUAAAGUCUGUGACCGUACGUUAAGAUUUAUGAAUAAGAGGGUUAAUAUUUGCAAGCUGACAACAUUGCAACACUUGAGACUGAUAGUAUUUUAGUUGUCGUUGUUGAAGUUUGGAAUAUUGAGCGUUAAUUGUUUAUACGUAUGUCAAGAGGUACGUCUGAGGAGCCUCCAGUGCCACCAUACCCAAAUCCACUUUGGCUUAUUGUAAACUUUGUCACGCAGAUCUAUUCAUGUAAUAAUUUGCUCUAGCCACGUAAAUUGUUUGGCCUCGGGUGGAUCAACUUUCGUGUGUGUAUUGUUAUUCCGUGACGUUGUCCAAGUGACAAUAGUGGUAGUUUGUUAGAAGAAAUGUUGCAUCAUAUUCUACUUACAUGCUUAAUAGAUGGCCCAUUAUGGGAAUGGCUUAUAACAACCAGAUAAAUGCAUGUUUGGUAGAUUUUAAUAUGUACCAUAAGAUCCGGAUUUUAACGGUAAUUCUUCCCUUAGAAAUCGAUAAAUAAGUAAGCAUAGAGCGCUCACUUCAUAAAUCAGUUUUAAUACCAAAACGCUUAUUUUCGUAGUCGACAUCUAGUGUCCAGUAGCGGAUUUAUCAGUACCGCUACUAGAUGUCACGAGUGUCGGGAUUGACAAAAAGUGUAUUGCUCAACAAUUUUCGACUAAUAUUACAAGCAGUUCAGGUUUAUCCGGUUAUAAUAAUAUCUACUUGACGCUAGACGUCAACUACGAAAAUAAUAAGCGUUUUGGUAAGAAAACUUAUGUAUGGAGUGAGCGCUCUAUGCUUAUUUAUUAGUUAAUUCUCUAUGUCAGACAACUAAUCGUAUAGGUAAAUUCAUAACAGUUAGCGCUAGAUUUGUACUGAACGGUCAACAUUUUCAUAGAAAAUCCCCGCCAGCUUUCGUGAAACGACCUUGGUAACGAGUGGCAGGCACUAAAAGUUGAUUCACUCUCUUACAAACAGGUCGUUAGGUAAUACGAGGAUAAAACCUAUUAGUAAUAGUACAAACGCCUCAGUGUCAGUAACCGCUUCGUCCAACCACGUCGCUUGCUUCGGGUGCUAAAGUACACUGUUGAUUAUGUUAUAAGAAUCGGAAGACUUCUGGAAUUGUAAUGCCCAGUUAAUGCAAAUUUUAUCCGUAGCUAAACUUACAUUUGUAUUAAGAAUCAAAUUGUGAAAUCAUGUGAUGUAAAUAAUGUGUAAAUAAAAUAUUCAGAAAUCUA